UCAACCUGGGAAAAAGCCACCCUGUUAGUUACAGUGCAUUAUCAUGAAAAAAAUAUGCAUUAAUUGCAAUCUUGCAUAUCCAAGGAACACAGAAUUAUUUGAUGGCUCUGCUGUGCAAAUAAGGGGUAUAUUGAUCCGCAUUUAACCAAUCCCAGUGAGCAUGCGCAAGCACACACGCACGCAGGCACACACGCGCACACACUCCUCUUUUUUUCUAGGCGGUUCCAAUCUGUUCUGUGUAUUCAUCUUUUUUUUUACAGUCUGUCGUAUUCAUUCAUCCAGAUCAUCCAGUCAAAAGGCUUUUUCGACUUCAUACGGCGCCAAAAGAACUGACAGGCUGACGAUGACGUCAAAGUAUCGCGAAAGCGAUUCGAGGAGUCUGCUUUCAAAUCGCUCUCGCGGAACUUUGACGUUGUACGUCUGUCAGUUGAUCUGGUUUAAUGUGAUUCGCGCUCUUUAUCCGUUGCAACUUGCUGUCUGAGGUAAAUAAGACGAGAAAGUUGAACCUUGCUCAUUAAAUGGAUAAAAGAAAACCAUGUAAGAGUUGGUUUGGAUAAAUAUGCGAAGGACAAUAAAUGUUAAGUGACCCAAAGACGGUUGGUCUUGUGGACAACGAGGAACAAACUGCCUAAAGGCGGUUGGAAAGCGUUUCCAGCACAAAUACUCAACAUGAACGAGAGCCUUGGGUAAAAAAAGGCAGAGUAAGUUACCAGUCAGUGGUUAAAGGCACAGAAAAUGUGGACAUCAAAACAAAUGGCUACAUUUGCUCGUGAGGAAGAUGAUAACGAAGAGGAUGAGACUCCUUCAAACCAUAAGAUAGUGGAUGAUUCACACUCAACUGCAAAGCAAUGAAAGAACACAUCUGUCACUAAAUUGAACCCAGUCACCUUGGAUUAUGCCAAAAAGUGUGAGAAUUACAAGAAACUCACCAGAACUGUGAUGGUCUCCAUUUCCACCUUAGAAAAAAUUACAAUAUGCUCCGUCACAGGGAUAAAAGGGGCCACUGGUGAACAAAGACAGAGUCCUGACAGAGAAAGUGAAGCUAGUAAUAGGGAGCCUGCUGGAAGAGAAUCUGAGGACUGAUGCACAUAUAACAAUGGACAUGCAUAAAGACACAUCUCUCUCUCUCUCUCUCUCUCUCUCUCCAACAUACACACACACUCAGAUAUACAGUUGUUGUUGUAUGGACAGCAUUUUAUUGAUACUUGUUUUUUUAUGAAUAUGUUUGGAUACUUCUUAAAAUUUGCUGUAUGUUUGCAAAUAAAUUCUCCAUUUGAAUCAGUUUUUCCUUACAGUAAAAUUUGUCCUAUGUCAAAGU